rnacentral:lncRNA from 1 species
GCGCCGGGGCUGAGGCGGCGGCGGCGGUGGCGGUGACUGAGGCGGCGGCGGCUGAGGCGGCGCGGGGGGAGGGUCGGGAGGGGGGGGUGGUUGUGGGGGAUGGACCGGGUGCGGCGGCCGCAGUGGAAGGAGCAGGCGCUUGAGCUCGAGCGACGGCGCUGGCGGAGACGCCGGCUGCUCCUCCCCUCCCCGCCGCAGGUAUUAAUCUCUGGAGAAGACACAUCCACAGUUAGCACUUUCUUCAGAUGCUGACGCUCGGUGAACAGUUGCCUUUGGUCACAAGAUUUAGAAGACACAGUGUCCAUCCUCCCAGAUUGGAUCUCUUUUUCAUAUGGAUCUUCUGUUUCUAUGUCUUUUUAAAAAAUAACUUUUUGGGAAACCUUUUGGAUUACAACUGUUCAUCCUCACCUAUGCAAAGAAAGGGAAGCUAUUGCUGGGAUUUUGAGGAGAUGGUCCUAGAACAAUUGGAGAUUCAUACGCACACAAAGAACCUCAACCCUUACCUCACACCAGACACAAAAGCUACCUUCAAAUAAAUCAUAGGCCUAACUUGAAGAGCUAAAACCAUGCAACUCCAGAAAGUUUUUGUCAGAAAGAAAAUACAGGAGAAAAUCUUAGUGACCUUGGGGUAGGCAAAGAUUUCUUAAGACACAAAAAGCAUGAAGUAUAAAGGGGAAAAAAUCGCUAAAUUGGAUUUCAUCCAAGUUAAAAACUUUUAAUCUUUGAAAGAUACCUUUAAGAAAAUGAAAAAGUACGCCUUGGGCUGGGAGAAAAUAUUUGCAGAACGUGUGUCUGACAGAGGAUGUGUAUCUAGAAGAUAUAAAGAAUUGUAACUCAAGAAUUGAAAGACAACCCCAUAAGAAAAGGGGGAAACAAUUUGAAUAAAGUUCA